UGGUUUUGAAGUUGUUUCGGGGCUCGUCCGAUCCUCCCACCCUUUGUAUACCUACCUCUGUUGCUUUGGCGGGCCGCGGUCUUCCGCGGCCGCCCCCCGAUUUUGGGGGGUGGCUAGUGCCCGCCAGAGGACUAUCAAACUCCAGUCAGUAAACGUUGCAGUCUGAAAAAAAUAUUAAAUAAACUAAAACUUUCAACAACGGAUCUCUUGGUUCUGGCAUCGAUGAAGAACGCAGCGAAAUGCGAUAAGUAAUGUGAAUUGCAGAAUUCAGUGAAUCAUCGAAUCUUUGAACGCACAUUGCGCCCCUUGGUAUUCCGGGGGGCAUGCCUGUUCGAGCGUCAUUUCAACCCUCAAGCUCUGCUUGGUAUUGGGCACCGUCCUUUGCGGGCGCGCCUCAAAGACCUCGGCGGUGGCGUCUUGCCUCAAGCGUAGUAGAAUACACCUCGCUUCGGAGCGUAAGGCGUCGCCCGCCGGACGAACCUUCUGAACUUUUCUCAAGGUUGACCUCGGAUCAGGUAGGGAUACCCGCUGAACUUAAGCAUAUCAAUAAGCGGAGGAA
rnacentral:rRNA from 1 species